GAUCAGUCAGAAAGAAGAGAAUGCUAGCAUUCACGUUGAUGAGGAUGGAAGGAGCCCUAGUGUCUUUGCAGAUACAAGGGGUUAAGACAUUGCUAUCUACUUAGUGGCAUCUGACCACGUGGCAUA